AAGUCGUAACAAGGUUUCCGUAGGUGAACCUGCGGAAGGAUCAUUAAUAAUUUCUAUUCAAUAUGGAAAUUUAAAUCCAUAUCCACCUCUUGUGCACCGACUUGUGUUUGCUUUGGGAGUGCUAGUCAAUUUCUUUUUUCUACUUUGCUGUGGGGGAAUGAAAUUGGGAAUGCGGAUUUUCUGCAAAGGAAAUCAGCGUUCGGCCUCCCAGAGUUUAUUUGUCUAAUUCACGCUUUUAUCAAUUAUGUCUGAACUUUUUAUUAUGAUAAUAAUAAAAUACAACUUUCAACAACGGAUCUC
rnacentral:misc_RNA from 1 species